rnacentral:rRNA from 1 species
AUUGAACGCUGGCGGCAGGCCUAACACAUGCAAGUCGAGCGAGCGGCGGACGGGUGAGCAAUGUAUGGAGACCUGCCUGAGGGAGGGGGAUAACUACUGGAACCGUUAGCAAAUACCGCUCACCAUCAAAUGAACCCAUAUGGGAUUACCGUGUAGGUAAGGUAACGGCUUACCUAGGCGACGAUCCCUAGCGGGUCGGCGAGGAUGAUCAGCCAAACUGGGACUGAGACACGGCCCAGACUCCUACGGGAGGCAGCAGUGGGGAAUAUUGGACAAUGGGCGCAAGCCUGAUGCAGCCAUGCCGCGUGUGUGAAGAAGGCCUUCGGGUUGUAAAGGACUUUCAGUCGGGAGGCGUUACCGACAGAAGAAGCACCGGCUAACUACGUGCCAGCCGCCGCGGUAAUAC